GCCCUGUGGGUAGCAGAACACUCUGUCUCGCUGUGAGCAACAAUACACUAAAAAAAAAAGAAAAGAAAAAAAAAAGUAAAGCCUAAUUCCCCUCCCCAUGAGGAUGUGACUCGCUUCUAACAGAAUAUGGCAGAAGUAAAGAUAUGUGACUUUGAGACUAUGUCAUGAAGGACAUUGUGGCUUCUGCCUAUCUUUCUUCUGGAUCACACCCCAGGGGAGAAAGCCAACCUCCAUGUUGUGAGGACACUCAAGCAGCCCUUCGUGGAGGUCCGCGUGGUGAGGAAUUGAGGCCUCCUGCUGAUGGCUCAUGCUAACUUGCUAGCCGUGGGAGUCAGCUACCUUGGAAGCAAUCCUUCAUCCCCAGUCAAGCACUCAGAUGACCGCAGCUCUGGCCAACAUCUUGACUGCAACCUGUGAACGACCCUGAGCAGAACUGUCCAGUUAAGCCACUCCUGGCUCACAGGAAUGGGGGAGAUAAUAAACAUUUAUCGUUUCAAGCUGUUAAGUUUGGGGGUAUGUUAUGCAGCAAGAGAUAACAAAUGUAGAAUAUUUCACUCAUUUCUACAUGAAGAUUUCUUUUCUUUUUUUUUUUUUUGAGACAGAGUCUCUCUCUGUCACCCAGGCUGGAGUGCAGUGGCGCGAUCUCAGCUCACUGCAACCUCCACCUCCCGGGUUCAUGCCAUUCUCCUGCCUCAGCCUCCCAAGUAGCUGGGACUACAGGUGCCCACCACCACGCCUAGCUAAUUUUUUUGCAUUUUUUUAGUAGAGACAGGGUUUCACCAUGUUAUCCAGGAUGGUCUCGAUCUCCUGACCUCAUGAUGCGCCCACCUCGGCCUCCCAAAGUGCUGGGAUUACACGUGUGAGCCACUGCGCCCGGCCCUACAUGAUGAUUUCUAUCACAUAAAUAUACAAUACUAUAUUUAUCAAGCACUAUAUGUUAAUAGAUUCAUUAUCAAUCCUAUCCCGUUAGAAUGUAAGCUGCAUGAAAGAAGAAAGUUUGUUUUGUUCAUUGCCAUAGACUUACAGUGUUGAUAAAUAAAUAAAUAUUUCUUGAAUGUGUGAAUC
rnacentral:lncRNA from 1 species